rnacentral:rRNA from 1 species
AUUUAUUAGAUAAAAAACCAAUGUCUUCGGACUCCUUGGUGAUUCAUAGUAACUUAACGAAUCGCAUAGCCUUGUGCUGGCGAUGGUUCAUUCAAAUUUCUGCCCUAUCAACUUUCGAUGGUAGGAUAUAGGCCUACCAUGGUUUCAACGGGUAACGGGGAAUUAGGGUUCUAUUCCGGAGAGGGAGCCUGAGAAACGGCUACCACAUCCAAGGAAGGCAGCAGGCGCGCAAAUUACCCAAUCCCGACACGGGGAGGUAGUGACAAUAAAUACCGAUACAGGGGGCUUCUGCCUCUUGUAAUUGGAAUGAGUACAAUUUAAAUCUCUUAACGAGGAACAAUUGGAGGGCAAGUCUGGUGCCAGCAGCCGCGGUAAUUCCAGCUCCAAUAGCGUAUAUUAAAGUUGUUGCAGUUAAAAAGCUCGUAGUUGAACCUUGGGCCUGGCCGGCCGGUCUGCCUCACCGCAUGCACUGGUUUGGCCGGGCCUUUCCUUCUGGCUAACCGCAUGCCCUUUACUGGGUGUGUUGGGGAACCAGGACUUUUAC